AAUAAAUAAAUAUUAAAUAUUUAAAUUAUAUAUAUAUAUAUAUAUAUAUAUAUGCUAUUAAAAAAAUUCUUUUAACUAAUUUUUUUUUAAAUAUUUAAACCCACCUGGAUCACCCCGGUUUGGAAUCAGAUCAUGUAAGAUUUUAAUGAUCGAACAGAUCAAAAAAUUUAAACUUCUACAUUUAAAUUUUAUCUUAAUCCAACAUCGAGGUCGCAAACUUUUUUUUUUAUAAGAACUAAAAAAAAAAAUUACGCUGUUAUCCCUAAGGUAAUUUUUUCUUAUAAUCAUAAUUUAUGGAUCAUAUAAUCAUUAAUUAAUGUUUAAAUACAAAAAAAGUUUAUUUAAUUUUUUUAUCACCCCAAUAAAAUAAUUAAAUUAAUUUUUAUUUAAAUUUAAUAAAAAAUUAUAAUUAAAUGAAUAAUAAAACUCUAUAGGGUCUUCUCGUCUUUUAAAUAAAUUUUAGCUUUUUUACUAAAAAAUUAAAUUCUAAUUAUAAAAAAGAGACAGUUUAUAUUUCAUCAAAUCUUUCAUACAAGUCUUCAAUUAAAAGACUAAUGAUUAUGCUACCUUUGUACAGUCAAUUUACUGCAGCCCUUUAAUAAAUCAGUGGGCAGAUUUGACUUUAAAUUAUUUUCAAAAAGACAUGUUUUUGAUAAACAGGUGAAUAUAAUUUUUUGCCGAAUUCCUUUUAAUUAAUUUUUUUAAUUAUUUAUUUUCAUAAAUAAAUAAUUUAUACUAAUUUUAUCAUUAUAUCUAAUUUUAAAAAAUUAUAAAUUAUUUUUUUAUAAAAAAUUAAAUUUUAAUUAAAAAUUUUUUAUAAUAUUAAAAUUUUUUAUAAAAAAAUAUAAUUUAUAAACAAUAUAAAUUUUAAAAAUUUUAAAAAAUAAAUUAUUAAUUAUAAAAUUUUAAUUUAAAGAUUAUCCCUUAAAAUAUUUAAUUUAUUACUAUAGGAAAAAAUUAAUUUUUUCCUAUAGUAAUAAAUUAUAAAUUAAAUUUAUUUCUAAAAAAACUAGAUAUAUUUAAAAACGAUUAACAUUUCAUUUCCAAUUAAUUAUUUAAAAUAUUUAUGAAACAAUAAAUUUUUUAAUUAAUUAUCUCUUUUAAAUUCGAGAUUUUUUUAAAUAAAAAUUUUUUUUAAUAAACUCUGAUACACAAGAUACAAUAAAUUAAAUUUACUAUUAAAUAAAUUUAUUUUCAAAUAUUUCACAAUUCUUAUACAAUAAAUUUUAUAAUUUUUUUUUUAUAUAUUACUUAACCCUCAUUAAAUAUUUUCAAAUAAAAUUAAUUUUAUUAUUUAUUUUUAUUAAUUAAUUUUC
rnacentral:rRNA from 1 species